rnacentral:lncRNA from 1 species
AAAUAAACUCAAGAACUGGUGACUUGCCCAGGUCACACUACUGGUGGGUAGCAAAACAGCAGCUAGAAUCUAUAGCUUCUGGCUUUCCAGCCAGUCCUUGUUCCACUACAUUCAUUACUUCUUUGCUGGACUGAAAAGCUUAGGACUUUUCCUGUAAGUAAUACGGAGCCAUUGAAGAUCUGAAGUUUCAAGGAAGUGGUAGGAUGGAUUCUCUUUUACUAUAAGGUUCAGAGUCUGGCUUGCAGACAAGGUACAGAUGGAAAUCUUCCUGGACUCAGGCCAAGAAGAGGAGAAAGGCCCUGUGCCCAUCCUGCUGUGAUUCAGGAGUCUCGCAGAAGACAUCAGAAUGCCUUUCUCUGAGUCACAGUCUGUAUCUUCUAGAAAAGGCUGUCCAUCUUCACCCCAAGCCCACUGGCUCCUGAGAUACGACAUCCAGACCCAGUGCAGCUGGACCUGGCCCAGGAAGAUCAUGCGGUUUCUGGGAAGCACUGGAGAAGGAAAAGGCUGAAGAAAGGAAGACCGGAAAAGAAAUACAAGUCCUUCCGCCUUGGCAAAGAUGAUAGUACCGUUCCCUUCAGUGUUCCGGUUCUGCUCUAUUGGAUAAGUUCCGGUUUGACUAUGACUACGUGAAAAUGUGGAACCAGACCUUCACCCCACAUUCCAGCUCCAGCUCUACCACAGAGGAAGUGCAAUAUCACCUUAGUUAUUCAACACAUUAUGCUCCUCGUGAUACAACCAGAGUUCACAUCAGCAAUCUUGGCAGCUCUCACCACGCUGCUGACUCACGACUCUCUCAUGUCCCAAUUUCCUGUCCAUUGUUCUUUCCUCUACUUGGCCUGAUUUCUAAAGGCCUCUCUUGGUUGCAUUAAGCGGGAUUCCUGAGGGAUUCCCUUGGCAGUUACCUUGGGGGAGCUCUUAGGUUUGGGGCUGAUCCAUGUCCUCUAAAUGUAGGACUUCAAAGCUCCCAAAGAUAGGCAGGCCCAGUGGGAAGCUGGGAAAUGCUCUCUGACCCCUCUGGGAGGGCUGGCAGUCAGAGGGCCUUUUGGAAAGAGUCAGACCUGAUCCAUAAGUCCCUGGAAAACACCCUGCCCAGGGAGCAAAUGCCACUGUGGCCUUGACUGAGGCUUCAGAAGAGUUUGGGAGCUGCAAUUCAUCCACACACGCAUUCAUUUUCAAGUAGUGGUUUGCAGUUCAGGCUUUGGAGCCACAUAAGCCUGGCUUCAAAGCCACUUUCCAGCUUUGUAGGAAGUCUCUACAUUUUUAAACCUCCAUUUUUUUUUCCUGUAAAACUGGGGUCUUCAUGGUACUUAACUUCAUCGUGAUGUUGAGAGAAUGAAAAGAAAAAGGAUAAAUAAAUGGCUUAGCCUCGUGCCUUGGCACAUAUUGUGAUUGUUUCUUCACGUCU